GAUGAACGCUGGCGGCGUGCCUAAUACAUGCAAGUCGAACGCUUCACUUCGGUGAAGAGUGGCGAACGGGUGAGUAAUACAUAAGUAACCUGGCAUCCGCAGGGGGAUAACUGAUGGAAACGUCAGCUAAGACCGCAUAGGUGUAGAGAUCGCAGGAACUCUAGAUGAAAAGUGCUACGGGACUGGUAGAUGAUGGACUUACGGCGCAUUAGCUGGUUGGUAGGGUAACGGCCUACCAAGGCGACGAUGCGUAGCCGACCUGAGAGGGUGACCGGCCACACUGGGACUGAGACACGGCCCAGACUCCUACGGGAGGCAGCAGUAGGGAAUUUUCGGCAAUGGGGGAAACCCUGACCGAGCAACGCCGCGUGAAGGAAGAAGUAAUUCGUUAUGUAAACUUCUGUCAUAGAGGAAGAACGGUGGAUAUAGGGAAUGAUAUCCAAGUGACGGUACUCUAUAAGAAAGCCACGGCUAACUACGUGCCAGCCGCCGCGGUAA
rnacentral:rRNA from 1 species